rnacentral:rRNA from 1 species
ACCCGCUGAACUUAAGCAUAUCAAUAAGCGGAGGAAAAGAAACCAACAGGGAUUGCCUCAGUAACGGCGAGUGAAGCGGCAAAAGCUCAAAUUUGAAAUCUGGCUCUUUCAGGGUCCGAGUUGUAAUUUGUAGAAGAUGCUUUGGGUGUGGCUCCGGUCUAAGUUCCUUGGAACAGGACGUCAUAGAGGGUGAGAAUCCCGUAUGUGAUCGGCUGCCUUCGCCCGUGUAAAGCUCUUUCGACGAGUCGAGUUGUUUGGGAAUGCAGCUCAAAAUGGGUGGUAUAUUUCAUCUAAAGCUAAAUAUUGGCCAGAGACCGAUAGCGCACAAGUAGAGUGAUCGAAAGAUGAAAAGCACUUUGGAAAGAGAGUUAAACAGUACGUGAAAUUGUUGAAAGGGAAGCGCUUGCAAUCAGACUUGCACGUAGUUGAUCAUCUAGUGUUCUCACUGGUGCACUCUGCUACGUUCAGGCCAGCAUCGGUUUCGGUGGUUGGAUAAAGGCCUUGGGAAUGUGGCUCCUCUCGGGGAGUGUUAUAGCCCUCGGUGCAAUGCAGCCUACCGGGACCGAGGACCGCGCUUCGGCUAGGAUGCUGGCGUAAUGGUUGUAAGCGACCCGUCUUGAAACACGGACCAAGGAGUCUAACAUCUAUGCGAGUGUUUGGGUGUCAAACCCAUACGCGUAAUGAAAGUGAACGGAGGUGAGAACCCUUUAGGGUGCAUCAUCGACCGAUCCUGAUGUCUUCGGAUGGAUUUGAGUAAGAGCAUAGCUGUUGGGACCCGAAAGAUGGUGAACUAUGCGUGAAUAGGGUGAAGCCAGAGGAAACUCUGGUGGAGGCUCGCAGCGGUUCUGACGUGCAAAUCGAUCGUCAAA